rnacentral:lncRNA from 1 species
UCUGAAAAGGCCCUACUUGAGUUAAAAACUCACCACACUCACAUUUCCUUAUGGUACUAAUCACAGUGGCAGAAGGGAACAAACAGCAGUUCAACACAAUGCCAGGCACAUGACAGUCAAUCCUAGUUUAAUUGUACCAGUUGUAUGUCAUCAUACUUGAAUUACAAAUGAACCAAGUAAGCCUGAAAUACCAAGUACAGCUGAAGAUAUGCUCAAAUGCAAUAAAAAUGCAAAGUGUGUAGGCAGGCUAAGCUAGGAAUUGCUUUCCAAGUUCCAGCACACUGAGCCAUAGAGUAAAAAGGUAUAUUUAGGAUAUGCAAAAAGAAGUACAACCAAGCUCCAACUUCAGUUUGUGGCCCCAAAUUAAAUUCUAAGUUGCUUGAACUUACUCUGCAGUUCUACAUAGAAAUUUUUCUAAAUGGUGGCUAGGGUCUUAAGCCAACUCCAACAACCCAUUUAACCCAUAUACGGAUAAAUGGUAGCAUUUAUCGUAGCAUUGCUAGCUAAAGUUCAGGGCUCCAAGAUGUUAUGCUCCAUUAUCUGCUCCUCUUGAAUUAAAUGUCCCCCUGGGUGAUCGCAGCCACCUUCACUGGUUUAACCAUCCAUUACUCACCAAUGACUCCAAGAUCUGUACCUCACUUACCACCUGUUAAAAGCUCCAAACCCGUAUUAUGUAACAUUUCACUGUUGAUCGGACAUUAUGACCUGGAAUACCCACCCACUUCAACAAGCUCCAAACUCAAUUCAUUAUGUCCUGCUCUUCCCUCACUUUCUUGUACUUGCUCCUUUUCCUAUUCACUUGUCCACCAUGGUUAGAAUCUUGUGGUCAUCUCACACAUUACCAAUUACAUGACACUGUGUAUUUGAGGAUGCUGUUUCUCUGCCUACAGUCAUCCACUCCACCACCUUAGAGCCAGAAAAACUCUAUUCUUCAAGACCCAGCUCAAAUGUUAUCUCCCCUCUGAAGACUGUCUGACCCCCUUGACUGCCACAACCCCAGAACAAGCAAAGUCAGUGUUCCCAAAUCUGCUCUUUUAAAAGUGCUCCCAUAACAUAUGAUUCAUUCUCUGAUACUAUACUUUCCUUGUUGGGGUCUCAUGAUUUGCUACACGUCUAUUUCCUAUGAAACUGUCAGCAUUACCAGGCCAGGAACUACUGUCUUCCUAAUGUUGUCUCCUACAGCCUAGUACUAAGACAGGGAAAACAGGUAGUACUAAGGUUGAGAUACUGUCUCUGGAAUCAGACAACCCAGGAUGCAGGUCUUUAUCUCUCUAAAUACUCUUUUAUCUCUCUAGUAAGUUCCUGGGACAUAUCUAAUUAUUAUUUUAUUUUAUUUUUCCAUAAGCUAUUGGGGUACAGGUGCUGUUUGGUUACAUGAGUAAGUUCUUUAGUGGUGAUAUGUGAGAUUUUGGUGCACCCAUCACCCGAACAGUAUACACUGCACCAUAUUUGUAGUCUUUUAUCCCUCACCCCCCCCACUCUUCCCCCAAGUUCCCAAAGUCCAUCGUAUCAUUCUUAUGCCUUUGCGUCCUCAUAGCUUAGCUCUCACAUACCAGUGAGAACACAGAAUGUUUGGUUUUCCAUUCCUAAGUUACUUCACUUAGAAUAAUUUCUCCAAUCUCAUCCAGGUCACUGCAAAUGCUGUUAAUUCAUUCCUUUUUAUGGCUGAGUGGUAUUCCAUUGUAUAUAUAUAUAUAUACACCACAGCUUCUUUAUCCACUUGUUGACUGAUGGGCAUUUGGGUUGGUUCCACGAUUUUGCAAUUGUGAAUUGUGCUACUAUAAACAUGCAUGUGCAAGUAUCUUUUUCGAAUAAUGACUUCUUUUCCUCUGGGUAGAUACCCAGUAGUGGGAUUGCUGGAUCAAACGGUAGUUCUAUUUUUAGUUCUUUAAGGAAUCUCCACACUGUUUUCCAUAGUGGCUGUGUUAGUUUACAUUCCCACCAACAGUGUAGAAGUGUUCCCUGAUCACCGCAUCCAUGCCAACAUCUACUGUUUUUUGAUUUUUUUAUUAUGGCCAUUCUCGCAGGAGUAACGUGGUAUCGCAUUGCGGUUUUGAUGCAUUUCCCUGAUGAUUAGUGAUGGUGAACAUUUUUUUCAUAUGUUUGUUGGCCAUUUAUGUAUCCUCUUUUGAUAACUGCCCAUUCACGUCCUUAGCUCACUUUUUGACGGGAUUGUUUUUUUUCUUACUGACAUGAG